GGGGAUGCAUUAGGAGAUGAAAUAAUUUUUCUGACAGAUGGUCAGGCAACAGACAACAUUGCUGUUUGUGUUCCAUCUGCAAUACAAAGCGGUGCCAUUAUACACACACUAGCUUUUAGUAACAGUGCAGCUCGUGAAUUGACGGAAAUGGCGAACAAAACUGGGGGGAAAUUUUUAUCACCCAAUGAUAAGACCACAUCUAACCAGUUAAUGGACGCAUUUGCUUCACUUACAUUAUCAACUGGAGAUUACACAAAAGAACCAGUUCAGCUAGAGAGUAUUGGAGAAAGAACAUCUGAUUGGUUCAAUGGCACAGUAUCAGUGGAUCAGACUGUUGGGAACAAAACCAGCUUUGUAAUAAUAUAUGAACUAAGUUCUCCUAUCAUUUACAUACAGUCACCAAGUGGCUUAACCUACACUCAGACAAAUAU